GUUUGGAACUGCGAAUGGCUCAUUAUAUCAGUUAUAGUUUAUUUGGUGAAGUGUACUACUUGGAUAACCGUAGUAAUUCUAGGGCUAAUACAUGAGAAAGUCCUCUGGUGAGGUGUGUUUAUUAGAAUGAAAACCAUAUGCUUCGGCAUGAUAGUGAGUAAUAGUAACCUAUCGUAUCGCAUGCUUAAUGUAGCGAUGAGUCUUUCAAGUUUCUGCCCUAUCAGCUUUCGAUGGUAGUAUAUGGGCCUACCAUG
rnacentral:rRNA from 1 species